UGGGGUAUAGUGUAAUAUGCACAGGAGUUUUUGGUACUCUAAGAGGGCAUUUAAAUCUGCUCUACCCUAA
rnacentral:tRNA from 1 species